UAACGUGAGGUGUUUGGACUACGACAUUAGUCGCCCCAUGGUUUUCAAGGGUUGAUUGAGCUGAUCUAGCUGGGUAGGCAGAUGUCCCCUUUCUCCAUCAUCAUUCUGUGUACAUCCUUCCAAAUCAUUGAGCUCUGUCAACGACUCCCUGCCCCCUACUACAAAGGAAGACUGUGACUCAGCUAGGUGUAUACAAGAUGCUUCCCUCGCUUGCUAGAACCUCUUAGACAAGCUUUCAAGAGAACAGUUUUCUUCAUUUUCUAAAUGGACAGGGUGACCUUGCAAAUCAAGGAGUAUUCUU
rnacentral:snRNA from 1 species